rnacentral:rRNA from 1 species
UUGGGGACUCUGGCGAGACUGCCACCGCAAGGUGUGAGGAAGGCGGGGAUGACGUCAAAUCAGCACGGCCCUUACGUCCGGGGCGACACACGUGUUACAAUGGCGACUACAGAGGGAAGCCACCUGGCGACAGGGAGCAGAUCUCGAAAAGUCGUCUCAGUUCGGAUCGGAGUCUGCAACUCGACUCCGUGAAGCUGGAUUCGCUAGUAAUCGCGCAUCAGCCAUGGCGCGGUGAAUACGUUCCCGGGCCUUGUACACACCGCCCGUCAAGCCAUGAAAGCCGGGGGUGCCUGAAGUCCGUGACCGAGAGGAGCGGCCUAGGGCAAAACUGGUAAUUGGGGCUAAGUCGUAACAAGGUAGCCGUACCGGAAGGUGUGGCUGGAACACCUCCUUU